GAUGAACGCUGGCGGCGUGCCUAAUACAUGCCAGUCGAGCGAACGGACGAGAAGCUUGCUUCUCUGAUGUUAGCGGCGGACGGGUGAGUAACACGUGGAUAACCUACCUAUAAGACUGGGAUAACUUCGGGAAACCGGAGCUAAUACCGGAUAAUAUUUUGAACCGCAUGGUUCAAAAGUGAAAGACGGUCUUGAUGUCACUUAUAGAUGGAUCCGCGCUGCAUUAGCUAGUUGGUAAGGUAACGGCUUACCAAGGCAACGAUGCAUAGCCGACCUGAGAGGGUGAUCGGCCACACUGGAACUGAGACACGGUCCAGACUCCUACGGGAGGCAGCAGUAGGGAAUCUUCCGCAAUGGGCGAAAGCCUGACGGAGCAACGCCGCGUGAGUGAUGAAGGUCUUCGGAUCGUAAAACUCUGUUAUUAGGGAAGAACAUAUGUGUAAGUAACUGUGCACAUCUUGACGGUACCUAAUCAGAAAGCCACGGCUAACUACGUG
rnacentral:rRNA from 1 species